UACGAAGGGGGCUAGCGUUGUUCGGAAUUACUGGGCGUAAAGCGCACGUAGGCUGACUUUUAAGUCAGGGGUGAAAUCCCGGGGCUCAACCUCGGAACUGCCUUUGAUACUGGAAGUCUUGAGUCCGAGAGAGGUGAGUGGAACUCCGAGUGUAGAGGUGAAAUUCGUAGAUAUUCGGAAGAACACCAGUGGCGAAGGCGGCUCACUGGCUCGGUACUGACGCUGAGGUGCGGAAGCGUGGGGAGCAAACAGG
rnacentral:rRNA from 1 species